AACGAACGCUGGCGGCAUGCCUAACACAUGCAAGUCGAACGAGACCUUCGGGUCUAGUGGCGCACGGGUGCGUAACGCGUGGGAACCUGCCCUUAGGUUCGGAAUAACUCCCCGAAAGGGGUGCUAAUACCGGAUAAUGUCUUCGGACCAAAGAUUUAUCGCCUUUGGAUGGGCCCGCGUUGGAUUGGCUAGUUGGUAGGGUAAAAGCCUACCAAGGCGACGAUCCAUAGCUGGUCUGAGAGGAUGAUCAGCCACACUGGGACUGAGACACGGCCCAGACUCCUACGGGAGGCAGCAGUGGGGAAUAUUGGACAAUGGGCGAAAGCCUGAUCCAGCAAUGCCGCGUGAGUGAUGAAGGCCUUAGGGUUGUAAAGCUCUUUUACCUGGGAUGAUAAUGACAGUACCGGGAGAAUAAGCUCCGGCUAACUCCGUG
rnacentral:rRNA from 1 species